GCAAACUUGGUCAUUUAGAGGAAGUAAAAGUCGUAACAAGGUUUCCGUAGGUGAACCUGCGGAAGGAUCAUUAUUGAGUACCAGGAACAGUCCCUUGGGACUGUUCUGCUCACUCUUAUCUUCUUUGUUAUUUUUUCUCAGUUGCUUUGGCAGUCAAUUCUGACUGUCAAGGGAUCUUUAACUUCUUGCUGUUUGCCAAUAGUUGCGUUUAUUAUGUCUAAACUAUUUGCUUAAUUUUAAGUAAAACUUUUAACAAUGGAUCUCUUGGUUCUGGCAUCGAUGAAGAACGCAGC
rnacentral:misc_RNA from 1 species